UACUAUAAUAUAUAGCUUUUCACUCUUAAUAUGUAAAGUAAGUAAGAUUUUACAAAGAAAGCACAUGUAAAGCUUGUGAAUAUGUAUUAUUUUACAGGUUGAACAUGAAAUAUUUAGGUAUUAGAAUUGUGCACCUGGAGAAACUACAACAGUGAAGUACCUCUUACUCAUAGGGUGAUCAGUUUAGGCUAACAUGUAGGCCUGUAGCCUACUGUGUAAUGUUCACUGUUAAGUUUUUAUAAUAAUAAGUACUUUCACAAAAGAAGCAUUUCAAGGCGUGUAACUGAGUAGUUUUAUGUGUAGGCUACUACUUCUACCUGAGUGAAGGAUAUGAAUACUUCCCCUUGUUGAAGUCACAGCCAGGCGUUGAAACGAGCGCAGUGCGUUGUUGUUGUUGUUGUUGUUGUGUUUGUUGUCAAACAGAACGCAGCAAUUAGAGGCGCCGCGCGCGCGCGAGGGGUAGGGCGACACCCCGGUGUGAGAGUCAGCACGCGCCCCCCCAGCUCCGCGUCCCGCCUCGCUGUAGUGAGGCUCGUGCUCUAAUGAGAGGGAUUUAAUGGAUUUACGGCGGCGGAGGAUGCCUGUGUGUCCGCAUGCUCUUGGCUCCGCCGACUAGAAAACGUCUGUGAUAAUUGCUGAGCCGCCUCCACAUUAACACGAACCAUAGAGAGCAAGAGAGCGAAAGAGAGAGAGAGAGAGAGAGAGGGGAAAAAGAAAACUGCUUCUCCUCUCCACUGCUUUCCCACGGCCAUGAUGAAAACAGGUAGCUCAGGCCAACAACAGAUGCUGUGUGCAGUGAGGAGAGGCUUGUGGGAGUAGGGAGAAAUCGUAGUGAAGGCGGUGCGAUGGCGCUGCAGCAGAGAGAGAAGGAUCUGGGUGACCAUCUGAAACCAAUUAUGGCGGCGCUGCAGCCACCCAGAAACUCAGUGACGGAUGGGGAUCUUGUAUUUAUAGCUGGGUAAACCAAUGGACACAUGACAGGACAUUUCUCUCUGGCUCUUAUCCAUGCUACUGACUUUAUCUGACUACAACAUGUCCCCUCUGGCCUCUCUCGGGCUUUAUCUCCACUCUACGAUCCAUUACAAAGCUGCCUGCUGUCCCCUGGGUGAUCUGCACUGUCCCCUCUACUCUGGCGGAGCUGCUGUGAUUCCAUCACUCCUGUCGGUCGAACCACACAGAAAGAUUAGUCAGACUCUCCAUCCAACAGAUGUGUCCAGCGCUUGAUUUGUGUGUGUUUUAUUGACUCUGGCCAUCUGUUAAUACAGUUGCUGGUUCCUCCUCUUGUGUUUGUUGAUGCACACAGACAGGGGAGCUGAGUGCCAGAAGAAACAUUCAGCAAAGGAAGAGAUGAGAGAUAGAGACAGAAAGAUAGAGAGAGAGUGGAGAAUAAUAUUUUAUAACAUGGUGCUGGUUUAAGUUUAUAUUCCUGCAUAUAGAACAUAAGAAUUUGUUCUUGUUUUUAGUGUAGUUUGAACAUUGAUUCAGGAUAGCACACAGGCAGUUUUAGUUGAUGAAUGAGUCUCAGAUGUUCGGUGCUUUCUGAAAACAGUGAGAGCGUGAAUUCCUUCACCAGGAGGAAAGUGAAAGAUUGCUUUAGAUAUCUGAAAUUCCUCACAGUACCAUUCCUUACAUUCCCUCUCAACUUCGAAGGAGCAGUUGCUGUCAGCAGCAGUUGCUGUCAGCAUUCUUUGGAUUGUCCAUUUGUGUGUGCAUGUAUGUGCCUGUGCAUGGUAGGAAUUUAUGCCCAUGUAAAAGGAUGAUAAUGCCCAACAGUUGCAGUCACUUGUGCUGGGUUGUUGUCUUUUCUUGGACAUUCCACUGACUCCUCAUCCUCCUCCUCUCUGUGUCACUCCUCCUCACAGCCUUCACUCCCAUGGUGUCUUUUUCCCCUCUCCUCCUGUCUCACAUAACACUUGUAUGAAUGCCUUGGAAGCUGCAAAGCUUAUGAAAACUUUUGCCUCACAUUAAUUAUCCUCUGUCUCACUAAGAUGCCUAAAAGGUGAGAUAGAUUACAUCUUAAAGCUUAACCUACUCACUCAGCAAGAAUUACAUCAUUAAGUCAUCACAACCUCAGACUAUAUUUUUACUCUGCUCUGUUUCAUUUUGCUGGCUGCCCUCCUUCCCAGCAUUCCUCCUGUGAAGCUGCCUGUUUACCCACUGAAUGGAAAGUUAAAGUCUUCGCUUAGCCUCUUUAUCCGCUCUUUUUACGUCAACGGGGGAUGUUGCUUCUCGCUACCCUCUCUGCCGUGUCACGAUGAUGUGAUUUCUUGACACGGGCGUCACUCGACCAAGCUGAAACCCCAGAACUCCAUGUGAACCUGCUGAAAGGGAGGUGGCGUCCAGCCUGGGUAAACACAGUGUGAGGGGGUUGGCCAGGGACACAGACUGUUGGUCCUAAAUGUGGAGGAAAAACGUCCAAUAACUGGGCCUGUGGGGAGCAAGCAGGGCCAAGGCUAACCCGAGCACAGACUCGCUGGGAGCAGGGAUAGUAGUGAAGUUGGAUCGCAGCUGCUCUGAGGGACGUAUAGGUAACAGAUGGGAUUUGGACCUGUGUCUUGCAAACAGGAAAUCAUUUUCCCCUUUGCAAAGCAGCAAUUUAAGCAAGUUUAAUUCACUUCUAAGUCAACCUAACAAGUGCCCUUUCUUGAAAAUAAAAGUUGGAAAAUAACCAUAAAACUGCUGCACUAACCUUCAAGGAAGUGACUUGGGAAUAAGUGUAUUUAAUCAGUUAAUGAAUUACAGUUUUGAAUUACAGGUUAAAUUUAGUAAACUGAGAUCAAAUUGAC